AAAGCGAGCUUACCCAAAGCCUGCUUCCUUCAAGUUAUCUGAGCUAGAACCAGCAGUUCUGACCCUCUGACAAAGUAGUUAUCUUUUCAUUUGUGCAAAGCAGGCUUUUAAGAAUCAUAAUAGUUUUCUGUCCCCCUUGAUCUUCAAGCACUGUCUAAAAUUCUAGAACCUUUCAAUCCAAAUCCAGAAAACACCAUCUCCUGAAAUACUGUCUGUAAGUUAUAAAAAA